AGCUCAGUAGCUCAGAGGCAGAGUGUUGGGCUCAUAACCCAAAGGUCCGUGGAUCGAAACCACGCUGAGCUA
rfam:Fragilariopsis cylindrus CCMP1102 unplaced genomic scaffold FRACYscaffold_1, whole genome shotgun sequence.